AGCGGCGAACGGGUGAGUAAUGCUUCGGAAUCUGCCCAGUGGUGGGGAAUAACCAGCCGAAAGGUUGGCUAAUUCCGCAUAAGCCCUACGGGGGAAAGCAGGGGAUCGUAAGACCUUGCGCCGAUGGAUGAGCCGAAGCCGGAUUAGCUAGUUGGUAGGGUAACGGCCUACCAAGGCGACGAUCCGUAGCUGGUCUGAGAGGACGACCAGCCACACUGGGACUGAGACACGGCCCAGACUCCUACGGGAGGCAGCAGUGGGGAAUAUUGGACAAUGGGCGGAAGCCUGAUCCAGCAAUGCCGCGUGUGUGAAGAAGGCCUGAGGGUUGUAAAGCACUUUCAGUGGGGAGAAAGAGGCCGUUGUUAAUAGCGACGGUGGAUGAUGUUACCCACAGAAGAAGCACCGGCUAACUCUGUGCCAGCAGCCGCGGUAAUACAGAGGGUGCGAGCGUUAAUCGGAAUUACUGGGCGUAAAGGGUGCGUAGGUGGUUUUGUAAGUUAGAUGUGAAAUUCCUGGGCUUAACCUGGGGACUGCGUCUGA
rnacentral:rRNA from 1 species